rfam:Clohesyomyces aquaticus strain CBS 115471 BCR34scaffold_81, whole genome shotgun sequence.
GGAGCCUUGGCGCAAUGGUAGCGCGUUGGUUUUCGGUUCGUCCGCCUGUUCACCAAAGGUUGUGGGUUCGAGCCCCAUGGGCUUCG